rnacentral:rRNA from 1 species
AGCGAACGCUGGCGGCAGGCUUAACACAUGCAAGUCGAGCGGGCACUUCGGUGUCAGCGGCUGACGGGUGGGUAACACGUGGGAACGUACCCUUUUGUUCGGAAUAACGCUGGGAAACUAGCGCUAAUACCGGAUACUCCCUUUUGGGGAAAGGCUUGCUGGCUAAGGAUCGGCCCGCGUCUGAUUAGCUAGUUGGCGGGGUAAUGGCCUACCAAGGCUAAGAUCAGUAGCUGGUCUGGGAGGAUGAUCAGCCACACUGGGACUGUGACACGGCCCAGACUCCUACGGAAGGAAGGAGUGGGGAAUAUUCGACAAUGGGCGCAAGACUGAGGCAGCCAUGUCGCGUGAGUGAUGAAGGACUUAGGAUUGUAAAGCUCUUUUGACCGGGACGAUAAUGACGGUACCGGAAGAAUAAGCCCCGGCUAACUUCGUG